GGCAAACAUAAUGAAUAAACCACUGUUCAUGAUUCCACUGGUACACAUAGAGGCAGGCAAACAUAAUGAACAAACCACUGUUCAUGAUUCCACUGGUACACAUAGAGGCAGGCAAACAUAAUGAACAAACCACUGUUCAUGAUUCCACUGGUACACAUAGAGGCAGGCAAACAUAAUGAACAAACCACUGUUCAUGAUUCCACUGGUACACAUAGAGGCAGGCAAACAUAAUGAACAAACCACUGUUCAUGAUUCCACUGGUACACAUAGAGGCAGGCUAACAUAAUGAACAAACCACUGUUCAUGAUUCCACUGGUACACAUAGAGGCAGGUGAACAUAAUGAACAAACCACUGUUCAUGAUUCCACUGGUACACAUAGAGGCAGGCUAACAUAAUGAACAAACCACUGUUCAUGAUUCCACUGGUACACACAGAGGCAGGCAAACAUAAUGAACAAACCACUGUUCAUGAUUCCACUGGUACACAUAGAGGCAGGCAAACAUAAUGAACAAACCACUGUUCAUGAUUCCACUGGUACACAUAGAGGCAGGCAAACAUAAUGAACAAACCACUGUUCAUGAUUCCACUGGUACACAUAGAGGCAGGCAAACAUAAUGAACAAACCACUGUUCAUGAUUCCACUGGUACACAUAGAGGCAGGCAAACAUAAUGAACAAACCACUGUUCAUGAUUCCACUGGUACACACAGAGGCAGGCAAACAUAAUGAACAAACCACUGUUCAUGAUUCCACUGGUACACAUAGAGGCAGGCAAACAUAAUGAACAAACCACUGUUCAUGAUUCCACUGGUACACAUAGAGGCAGGCAAACAUAAUGAACAAACCACUGUUCAUGAUUCCACUGGUACACACAGAGGCAGGCAAACAUAAUGAACAAACCACUGUUCAUGAUUCCACUGGUACACAUAGAGGCAGGCGAACAUAAUGAACAAACCACUGUUCAUGAUUCCACUGGUACACAUAGAGGCAGGUGAACAUAAUGAACAAACCACUGUUCAUGAUUCCACUGGUACACACAGAGGCAGGCGAACAUAAUGAACAAACCACUGUUCAUGAUUCCACUGGUACACACAGAGGCAGGUGAACAUAAUGAAAAAAACACUGUUCAUGAUUCCACUGGUACACAUAGAGGCAGGCGAACAUAAUGAAUAAACCACUGUUCAUGAUUCCACUGGUACACAUAGAGGCAGGUGAACAUAAUGAACAAACCACUGUUCAUGAUUCCACUGGUACACAUAGAGGCAGGCAAACAUAAUGAACAAACCACUGUUCAUGAUUCCACUGGUACACAUAGAGGCAGGCGAACAUAAUGAACAAACCACUGUUCAUGAUUCCACUGGUACACACAGAGGCAGGCAAACAUAAUGAACAAACCACUGUUCAUGAUUCCACUGGUACACAUAGAGGCAGGCAAACAUAAUGAACAAACCACUGUUCAUGAUUCCACUGGUACACACAGAGGCAGGCGAACAUAAUGAACAAACCACUGUUCAUGAUUCCACUGGUACACAUAGAGGCAGGCAAACAUAAUGAACAAACCACUGUUCAUGAUUCCACUGGUACACACAGAGGCAGGCGAACAUAAUGAACAAACCACUGUUCAUGAUUCCACUGGUACACAUAGAGGCAGGCAAACAUAAUGAACAAACCACUGUUCAUGAUUCCACUGGUACACAUAGAGGCAGGUGAACAUAAUGAACAAACCACUGUUCAUGAUUCCACUGGUACACAUAGAGGCAGGCAAACAUAAUGAACAAACCACUGUUCAUGAUUCCACUGGUACACAUAGAGGCAGGCGAACAUAAUGAACAAACCACUGUUCAUGAUUCCACUGGUACACAUAGAGGCAGGUGAACAUAAUGAACAAACCACUGUUCAUGAUUCCACUGGUACACAUAGAGGCAGGCGAACAUAAUGAACAAACCACUGUUCAUGAUUCCACUGGUACACAUAGAGGCAGGUGAACAUAAUGAACAAACCACUGUUCAUGAUUCCACUGGUACACAUAGAGGCAGGUGAACAUAAUGAACAAACCACUGUUCAUGAUUCCAC